rnacentral:rRNA from 1 species
GACGAACGCUGGCGGCGUGCCUAAUACAUGCAAGUAGAACGCUGAAGAGAGGAGCUUGCUCUUCUUGGAUGAGUUGCGAACGGGUGAGUAACGCGUAGGUAACCUGCCUUGUAGCGGGGGAUAACUAUUGGAAACGAUAGCUAAUACCGCAUAACAAUGGAUGACACAUGUCAUUUAUUUGAAAGGGGCAAUUGCUCCACUACAAGAUGGACCUGCGUUGUAUUAGCUAGUAGGUGAGGUAACGGCUCACCUAGGCGACGAUACAUAGCCGACCUGAGAGGGUGAUCGGCCACACUGGGACUGAGACACGGCCCAGACUCCUACGGGAGGCAGCAGUAGGGAAUCUUCGGCAAUGGGGGCAACCCUGACCGAGCAACGCCGCGUGAGUGAAGAAGGUUUUCGGAUCGUAAAGCUCUGUUGUAAGUCAAGAACGAGUGUGAGAGUGGAAAGUUGACACUGUGACGGUAGCUUACCAGAAAGGGACGGCUAACUACGUG